CCCUUAGAGUUUGAUCCUGGCUCAGGACGAACGCUGGCGGCGUGCCUAAUACAUGCAAGUCGAACGAAACUUUCUUACACCGAAUGCUUGCAUUCACCGUAAGAAGUUGAGUGGCGGACGGGUGAGUAACACGUGGGUAACCUGCCUAAAAGAAGGGGAUAACACUUGGAAACAGGUGCUAAUACCGUAUAUCUCUAAGGAUCGCAUGAUCCUUAGAUGAAAGAUGGUUCUGCUAUCGCUUUUAGAUGGACCCGCGGCGUAUUAACUAGUUGGUGGGGUAACGGCCUACCAAGGUGAUGAUACGUAGCCGAACUGAGAGGUUGAUCGGCCACAUUGGGAAUGAGACACGGCCCAAACUCCUACGGGAGGCAGCAGUAGGGAAUCUUCCACAAUGGACGCAAGUCUGAUGGAGCAACGCCGCGUGAGUGAAGAAGGUCUUCGGAUCGUAAAAAUCUGUUGUUAGAGAAGAACACGAGUGAGA
rnacentral:rRNA from 1 species